rnacentral:tRNA from 1 species
UCCCCAGUGGCUAAAAUGGUAAAGGAUCUGCCUGCCAUGCAGGAGACCCGGGUUUGAUCCCUGGGUCGGGAA